UGACUGACUUCAAAUUGGACAUCACAUGGCUCAGCUCAUUGGCUGCGAGGGAGCUACCUGUGUAGCUGUACUAGCCAGGGACUUUACCCUCAUGAGAGCUCUGUUCCUGUCACCAGUGGCUGUAGCUUCUGGUAGGAGAGAGUAGUAUAGGCAGUAUGCAGUCAGAUAAAGACCAAAUACGCUGACAGAUGAGCAAAGAUAUCCUGCUGGUGGAGGGAUACUCCUCUGAGGUCCAAAUGGAAGUAGAUGCAGAUAGAAAUGGUACUAAGAUAUUCAGGUAUGCUUUUGACAAGCACUGAGGAAGAGGAUUGGGAAGACUCCUUCAUGAGUUGCUGUGGGAGCACAGAAGAGGCAUGACCCCUGGGUUCCAGGCGGUACGUCUCAAUGCCCUGACUGAGACAAUUGCCUGGACAACCUGUAGCUGGUGCUGUGGGGCUGGUGGCCCAAAGCCAAAGAGACCUCCAGAAGAGGUAGCAAAGCUUGUACUGGUUUGCAAUUCAGCAGCUUCCCAUGGACCCCAAAGAAGAGCAGUGACCUGUCCUAACUGUGACCUGGUACUGUAACACCAAUGGAGACGUGGUGGAAGAGUUGAAUUCUUACACCUACUAUAGCAGCAUUACCCUUCCUGCACAGUGAUUGAGAAGUAGCUCCAGGAGUUCAAAAUCUGUGGGUGCUGCCAGGUGGCCCAGUACUGAGGCUCUGAGUGCCAGCAGGAGCGGGCUGGCCACCAUGAAGCACUGUCAGGAGAGGAAGCACCCCUUCCAGCAUGACCUCAGCUGGAGCAAUG
rnacentral:lncRNA from 1 species